rnacentral:lncRNA from 1 species
GAUCCCUUUCCCUCUCCCUCUCCACGCUUGUCCGAGCCGUGGAGGGAUCCUGAGAGGAAAUCUUGUAGCCGGGAGCUGGGGGAUCGCCGGAGAUCCGGGGCACCCAGUCUGGAGCGGCUAAGAUCUGGACGUCCGUGCGGGUUGGAGGCCCGGAGUGGCCUUU